GCGAACGCUGGCGGCAGGCCUAACACAUGCAAGUCGAACGAACUCUUCGGAGUUAGUGGCGGACGGGUGAGUAACACGUGGGAACGUGCCUUUUGGUUCGGAAUAACUCAGGGAAACUUGUGCUAAUACCGAAUGUGCCCUUCGGGGGAAAGAUUUAUCGCCAUUAGAGCGGCCCGCGUCUGAUUAGCUAGUUGGUGAGGUAACGGCUCACCAAGGCGACGAUCAGUAGCUGGUCUGAGAGGAUGACCAGCCACACUGGGACUGAGACACGGCCCAGACUCCUACGGGAGGCAGCAGUGGGGAAUCUUGCGCAAUGGGCGAAAGCCUGACGCAGCCAUGCCGCGUGAAUGAUGAAGGCCUUAGGAUUGUAAAAUUCUUUCACCGGGGACGAUAAUGACGGUACCCGGAGAAGAAGCCCCGGCUAACUUCGUG
rnacentral:rRNA from 1 species